rnacentral:rRNA from 1 species
CUAGGUUCAGUGGAGGCGUCAGUGAAAUACCACCUGCUGGUUUCUGGUGUCUAACCGCAUCCCGUCAUCCGGGAUCGGGACACUGUCUGGUGGGUAGUUUGACGUGGGGCGGUCGCCUCCCAAAGAGUAACGGAGGCGCGCGAUGGUUCCCUCAGCCUGAUUGGAAACCAGGCGUCGAGUGCAAUGGCAUAAGGGAGCUUGACUGCAAGAGCGACGGCUCGAGCAGGUGCGAAAGCAGGUCAUAGUGAUCCGGUGGUUCUGAAUGGAAGGGCCAUCGCUCAACGGAUAAAAGGUACUCCGGGGAUAACAGGCUUAUCUCCUCCAAGAGUUCACAUCGACGAGGAGGUUUUGGCACCUCGAUGUCGGCUCAUCGCAUCCUGGGGCUGGAGCAGGUCCCAAGGGUUUGGCUGUUCGCCAAUUAAAGCGGUACGCGAGCUGGGUUCAAAACGUCGUGAGACAGUUUGGUCCCUAUCUUCCGUGGGCGUAGGAGGCUUGAGAGGCUCUGACCUUAGUACGAGAGGAC